rnacentral:rRNA from 1 species
GAGGAAGUAAAAGUCGUAACAAGGUUUCCGUAGGUGAACCUGCGGAAGGAUCAUUACCGAGCUUGGGUCGCCCUGUGGCGGCCCACCCUCCCACCCCGUGUGUACGAGACCUUUUGUUGCCUAGGCGAGCCGGGAGCGCAGCUCUCGCCGGUGCGCGGGUCCGUCCGUCGGGCGGACGUCGCGACGCCUGGAGCCCUCGUCGCAGGCCGAUCUUUGCGCUGUGUGCACGUGACGUCUGAGCAAACACAAUUCAAUAAGAAAAACUUUCAACAACGGAUCUCUUGGUUCUGGCAUCGAUGAAGAACGCAGCGAAAUGCGAUAAGUAAUGUGAAUUGCAGAAUUCAGUGAAUCAUCGAAUCUUUGAACGCACAUUGCGCCCUCUGGUAUUCCGGGGGGCACACCUGUUCGAGCGUCAUCGUACACCUCAAGCGCGAGCUUGGAGUUGGAGGUCGCGGCGCGCGUGGUCCUCGUUUCGACGGGGACGACGGGCGGCGCGCCUCUGAAAGCGAGAGGCGACGCAGCCCCUUCUCCAGCGCAGUGACCUUCAUUCGCUGACGGGACGUGGUUGUGGUCGCCGCACGGCACGUGUUCUCACGUACACUGACAUUUUGACCUCGGAUCAGGUGGGAAUACCCGCUGAACUUAAGCAUAUC